rnacentral:piRNA from 1 species
UCUGUGGUACUCAGGGUGUGCGUGCUCUGU